UACGUAGGGUGCAAGCGUUGUCCGGAAUUAUUGGGCGUAAAGAGCUUGUAGGCGGUUUGUCGCGUCGACUGUGAAAUCCCGCGGCUCAACUGCGGGUCUGCAGUCGAUACGGGCAGGCUAGAGUUCGGUAGGGGAGACUGGAAUUCCUGGUGUAGCGGUGAAAUGCGCAGAUAUCAGGAGGAACACCGGUGGCGAAGGCGGGUCUCUGGGCCGUAACUGACGCUGAGGAGCGAAAGCAUGGGGAGCGAACAGG
rnacentral:rRNA from 1 species